UUGAGUCAGUGUCUCCCGUGUAUAAAUGAGCGUGUGAGACAAGUUGUGCUACAGAUGGGACAGAAGAGGAGCUGACAGAGAGGUACCAGCGGCAGCAGCAGUGGGAUCAUGAAGUCAGUGAUAGCGGUUCUCCUGUGCAUCUUGGGGUCCCAAUUGGUCACUGGGAAGUCUCUGCGAGUGGCUGUGGCAUCAAACAUACAGAUCUGUGACUUCCCAUGUGAGAAACAAGUGGUUUAUUUUCUGGAAAGAGCAUCCAAGGAACAGAUCAUGGACUUCUCUUGCAUGGACAGGUAUCUGCACAUUUAUGGCACUUACAGAGAGAGACUUCAGUUGAACCAAUCUACUGGCUGCUGCACUAUUACCAAUGCCCAGAAAUCUGACUCCGGUGAUUAUGUGUUGGAAUAUCAGGAGCUCAGGAAAGUCACACAGUUCAAAUAUACAAACUACUUGAUCAUAGACCCAGUCUGUGUGACCAACAUAACAACCGACCGCAGUGGAGAAAAUGUAAGUCUGAGACUUUCCUACAGUGGGGAAGAGACCACAGUUCUGUGGACAUGGAACGGAGGAGCCCUGCCUGAGAGACACCAGCUGAGUGACAGUAACAAGACUCUCACUGUACCCAGUACUGACACUGGCACAUUCACUGUCCUUGUCUCCAACCCAGUCAGUCACACCAGCACUCACUAUAACCUCACACUCCCAGGUAAGUGACAGUAACAAGACUCUCACUGUACCCAGUACUGACACUGGCACAUUCACUGUCCUUGUCUCCAACCCAGUCAGUCACACCAGCACUCACUAUAACCUCACACUCCCAGGUAAGUGACAGUAACAAGACUCUCACUGUACCCAGUACUGACACUGGCACAUUCACUGUCCUUGUCUCCAACCCAGUCAGUCACACCAGCACUCACUAUAACCUCACACUCCCAGGUAAGUGACAGUAACAAGACUCUCACUGUACCCAGUACUGACACUGGCACAUUCACUGUCCUUGUCUCCAACCCAGUCAGUCACACCAGCACUCACUAUAACCUCACACUCCCAGAUACUGCCUUGCCCUCUCGAUCUCGCACUGUGUCAGCUGGGAUUAUUAUUGCUGCUGUCUCUUUGGUUUUUGUCGCUGGUAUUUUUAUUUGUCUCUUCAAGUGAACCAGACAAACAAAUGACAGUUAAUAAAAAGUGCCAUUUAGGCUGCUGCUCCAGGAUAAACCUAUGCAAGUUACCAAGGGCUGUAUCACAGGAACCUCCAAUCUGGUCAGUACGUGAGCCAUCAAUACAUCUUUCUUUCACUGCAACAAAUGGGAUUGAGGACAAUGACGGGCCGGGGUGGCUUCAGGGGGUCCCAAGGCUUCUUGGAUGACAUUUGUAAUAUACAUGUGGGCACUAACAAUUAUCAGAUACAAUAGAACCCCCAUUUUGCGUUUUUUUAGGAGAAAAAAGUGAAAAAAUUUAAAAUUUGAACUUUAAUUUGAACACAAUGUGAAUGCAAUUCGAAUGUCAGGAAGGCUAUUAAAGGAAAACUAUACCCCCAAAAUGAACA